rnacentral:tRNA from 1 species
GGAGGGGACAGCUCAGUGGUAGAGCAUGUGCUUAGCAUGCAUGAGGUCCUGGGUUCAAUCCCCAGUGCCUCCA